rnacentral:lncRNA from 1 species
CCCCUCCCUGGGCGGCUCCGCGACUGUGUGGCGCCCGCCAGGAUCGCGGGGACCCUGACUCGCGUGUGCGGCUCGCGCGGGAGGAGCAGGGGCGGGGUCCGAGCCUCCUCUCUCCCCCGAGUGUCAGCUUCCCAGAGAGUGGGCAGCGCUGGCUCGGAUUUAGUCUGCUGCCCUAACCUGGCUCUGUCUAGGGCUGACAUUAAGUCCUUAAAUUUCCAGAUCCUUCCCCGCAUUUCCAGAUGUCGCCUUCCGAUCCCCAACGCAAUGCAUCGUCUAUCGCCGUUGAUCCUCCGUGGUGCGUUUCAAACCCACGCAGCAUUUUAAUAACGUUUUUCCCCCCCACAGAGUUGUGGAUUGCGCUUCUUCAAAAACUCAUGUCUAGUUUGUGGACAUGUCACAUGAAAGGAGAGCAGAGAAUAACCAUCUGGAACCACUUGUACAGAAUCCAUGUGUCUCUGGUAGUAUGUUUCCUGGACACAGCCAUCCUAGGGGGAUUCCUUUGGAUUGAGGUGGCUCUUGGCAAAAUCCUGGUGAUGUGUCCUUUCAAGCAUUCCCUGGCCUUGCAACCAUGGACAUAUUUAUUCUCUUAUUUGAGUACCGGGUUUUUAUUUUUGGUACUGGGGAUUGAACACAGGGGCAUUCGACCACUGAGCCACAUCCCCAGCCCAAUUUUUGGACUUUAUUUUGAGACAGCGUCUCACUGAGUUGCUUAGCUUCUUGCUAAAUUGCUGAGGCUGGGACUGAGGUUGUGGCUCAAUGGUAGAGCGCUCACCUAGGCGUGCGAGGCUCUGGAUUCAAUCUUCAGCACCACAUAAAAAAAUAAAUAAAUAAAUUGCCAAAGCUGUCUUUGAACUUGCAAUCCUCCUGCCUCAGCCUCCCAAGCCCAGGGGUGCACCAGUCAUUUUUAAAUAGAUGUAAAAUGUAUUCAGUAACUAAAGUUUAAGAGAUAGUCUACAAUAUUCCAAAGAGACUAGAAAGGGAAUAUGAAAAAUAAAAUAUUCCCUGGGCCCAGGAUGUAACUCAGGCAGAGCACUUGCCUAAUGUGCAAGGCCAGGGUUUAAUGC